rnacentral:rRNA from 1 species
GCCAGACUCCUACGGGAGGCAGCAGUGGGGAAUAUUGGACAAUGGGGGGAACCCUGAUCCAGCGACGCCGCGUGAGUGAAGAAGUAUUUCGGUAUGUAAAGCUCUAUCAGCAGGGAAGAAGCAAGACGGUACCUGACUAAGAAGCCCCGGCUAACUACGUGCCAGCAGCCGCGGUAAUACGUAGGGGGCGAGCGUUAUCCGGAUUCACUGGGUGUAAAGGGAGCGUAGACGGCCAUGCAAGCCAGGGGUGAAAGCCCGGGGCCCAACCCCGGGACUGCCCUUGGAACUGCAUGGCUGGAGUGCGGGAGGGGCAGGCGGAAUUCCUGGUGUAGCGGUGAAAUGCGUAGAUAUCAGGAGGAACACCGGCGGCGAAGGCGGCCUGCUGGACUGCGACUGACGUUGAGGCUCGAAAGCGUGGGGAGCGAACAGGAUUAGAUACCCCCGUAC